rfam:Chania multitudinisentens RB-25, complete genome.
CUUGUUACUGGGUCGCCUGUAGCAAG